rnacentral:rRNA from 1 species
CAGCCGCCGCGGGAACACGAAGGGUGCAAGCGUUAAUCGGAAUUACUGGGCGUAAAGCGUGCGUAGGCGGUGAGUUAAGUCUGCUGUGAAAUCCCCGGGCUCAACCUGGGAAUGGCAGUGGAUACUGGCUCGCUAGAGUGUGUCAGAGGAUGGUGGAAUUCCCGGUGUAGCGGUGAAAUGCGUAGAGAUCGGGAGGAACACCAGUGGCGAAGGCGGCUCACUGGUCCAUUACUGACGCUGAGGUGCGAAAGCGUGGGGAGCAAACAGGAUUAGAUACCCGCGUAGUCCCUGUCUCUUAUAC